UCACUGGUCAAGUGCUCCUGCGCGGAAGAUGUAACGGGGCUCAAGUGUGGCACCGAAGCUAUGGACCCGCAAGGGUGGUAGGCGAGUAUUGAAGCAGCCUGCGAAGGUGUUCCGUGAGGAAUGCUGGAGGUACUUCAAGAGCUCAUGCUAGCAUAAGUAGCGUAAAAGGACGGUGAAAAACCGUCCCGCCGAAAGUCCAAGGUUUCCUGGGCCAGGGUAAUCCUCCCAGGGUUAGUCGAACCCUAAGGCGAGGCCGAAAGGCGUAGUCGAUGGGAAAGGGGUUAAUAUUCCCGUACCGUUUGUAUGGAGUGAUGCGGGGGUGGAGAAGGGCAGUCAUGCCGGGUGUUGGAUAUCCCGGUGCAAGCUCGUAGGCAGGCGUUUUUGGCAAAUCCGGAACGUCAAUGCUGAGAAGUGAUGCGGUGGACCUCGGUCCUGAAGAUGAUCAUCCCAUGCUCACAAGAAAAGCCGCUAAACGUUGAAGUACAUCGCUCGUACCCCAAACCAACUCAGGUGGACAGGGAGAGAAUCCUAAGGCGAUUGAGUGAAGCUGGGCCAAGGAACUCGGCAAAUUGAUACCGUAACUUCGGGAUAAGGUAUGCCGGCAGUGUCAAGAGGUUUACCCUCGUAGCACAGUCCGGUCGCAGAGAAGAGGGAGAAGCGACUGUUUAACAAAAACACAGCACUCUGCAAAAUCGUAAGAUGACGUAUAGGGUGUGACGCCUGCCCGGUGCUGGAAGGUUAAAAGGAGGGGUUAGCGCAAGCAAAGCUCCGAAUUGAAGCCCCAGUAAACGGCGGCCGUAACUAUAACGGUCCUAAGGUAGCGAAAUUCCUUGUCGGGUAAGUUCCGACCUGCACGAAUGGCGUAACGACUUCUCCGCUGUCUCGGCCCAGUGCUCAGCGAAUUUGAAAAACGGUGCAGAUGCCCGUUACCGCAGUAAGACGGAAAGACCCCGUGAACCUUUACUAUAACUUGGCAUUGGUAUUUGGGUUUGUCUGUGUAGCAUAGGU
rnacentral:ncRNA from 1 species